GGGGAUAUGGCGAAAUCGGUAGACGCUACGGACUUAAUUGAAUUGAGCCUUGGUAUGGAAACCCACUAAGUGAUAACUUUCAAAUUCAGAGAAACCCUGGAAUUAAUAAAAAGGGGCAAUCCUGAGCCAAAUCCCGUUUUCCGAAACCAAAGGUUCAGAAAGUGAAAAGGGGAUAGGUGCAGAGACUCAACGGAAGCUGUUCUAACAAAUGGAGUUGGCUGCGUUAGUAGAGAAAUCUUUCCAUCUAAAAUUCCGAAAGGGUAAAGUGAAGGAUAAACGUAUAUAUACGUAUUGAAUACUAUAUCAAAUGAUUAAUGACGACUCGACUGAAUCUGUAUUUUUUAUAUGAAAACGGAAGAAUUGGUGUGAAUAGAUUCCACAUUGAAGAAAGAAUCGAAUAUUCAUUGAUCAAAUGAUUCACUCCAUAGUCUGAUAGAUCUUUUCAAGAAUUGAUUAAUCGGACGAGAAUAAAGAUAGAGUCCUGUUCUACAUGUCAAUGUCGGCAACAAUGAAAUUUAUAGUAAGAGGAAAAUCCGUCGACUUUAAAAAUCGUGAGGGUUCAAGUCCCUCUAUCCCCAA
rnacentral:ncRNA from 1 species